rnacentral:rRNA from 1 species
UGAACCGAGGAAGAGCUCAAAUUUGAAAUCUGGCGUCCUCAGGGCGUCCGAGUUGUAAUCUAUAGAGGCGUUUUCCGUGCCGGACCGUGUCCAAGUUCCUUGGAACAGGAUAUCAAAGAGGGUGACAAUCCCGUACUUGACACGACGACCGGUGCUCUGUGAUACGUCUUCUACGAGUCGAGUUGUUUGGGAAUGCAGCUCAAAAUGGGUGGUGAGUUCCAUCUAAAGCUAAAUAUUGGCGAGAGACCGAUAGCGAACAAGUACCGUGAGGGAAAGAUGAAAAGCACUUUGGAAAGAGAGUUAAACAGUACGUGAAAUUGUUGAAAGGGAAACGAUUGAAGUCAGUCGUGACCGAGAGGCUCAGCCGGUUCUGCCGGUGUAUUCCCCUCGGUCGGGUCAACAUCAGUUUUGUCCGGUGGAUAAGGGCGGUAGGAAGGUGGCACCCUCGGGUGUGUUAUAGCCUGCCGUCGCAUACAUCGGGUGAGACUGAGGAACGCAGCUCGCCUUUAUGGCCGGGGUUCGCCCACGUCCGAGCUUAGGAUGUUGACAUAAUGGCUUUAAACGAC